rnacentral:misc_RNA from 1 species
AGGUGAGAGCUGGUUGGAAAUGGGGCAAAGUCACGAGUUGGCCUUUGUGCCUGGCUUAUGGUGUCUUUAACUUGAUGUUGAAGGCCUCAUAAGCUGCUCCCGAGUGGGGACUUCGAUUUUGGUGAUACCAUAUCGAACGAACUGCGACAACGCCUUGAUCUAGAUCAAGGCGGGAUCAUGUUUACAUGAUUAUCCUAGGAUGGUGCAGAAAGCUGGAUGGCAAGUGGGCAAGGCACGACGUGUCUUUUGCCCGACCGUCAAAAGGUGAUCGUAGGCCGCCAUCCGAGUGGUACCCGGUUUUAUUUGUGGUCAGGCCACACCGGGAAAACUGCGAAAACGUGAUGAUCUAAUCGUUUGUAGAUGCAAUCUUGUCGAAAGGCACGUCGAUUGUUGAGAACGUUCCUAGAUUUGAUCGGUAAUCAUGUUCUUAUGUGAUUAUGAUCAUGAUAGCCAUGAUCAACCUAGGUUUGUGCUAACUGCUGUAUGGCUUGGAUGAGGGCAAGAGACACAACGUGUGGCCUUUUGUAGGAUUGACGUGUGCCUCUUUUCCGACCAUUAUACAGCGAUCGUAAGACGCAUUCCUAGUGGAGGCCUUCUUGUGGUGGGUUAUGUUUAGAUCGGUUCUCUUCGUAUCGUGCGGUACAUUUUGGGGUCGUCUUUGGCUUUCGGUUGUUUGCUUGGCUCCUUAGCCUUGCGGGUGGCUGUUUGCCAGGGCGGCUUCGGGGAUGUCUAUCGUAAAGGUGCAUGAGUGGUGUUUGGUUUGAUACGGGUGGUUGGCUCCCUGCUUGAGUAGGCACGGCCACGCGUACAUUCCUUUUCAGUUGUGCGGCAAGGCUUGUAUCGUCUUGGUCGUACGUGUGGGUUUCCUGUGUUGCAUACCUGAUCAAUGGCAUCGUUUUGAUCAAAAAUGUACCUUUUUCGUCGGGCGUUGCACCUGCGAUGUCGGAUGAACCUUGAGGCAUCAUCUUUGACCCAUAUAGUCAAUGAGCAUUUGUUGAUUGUAUGGUCCAUUGAUGGUGUUUGGUAUCUCGAAUAUGGAAGCCAAAGUGGGCAUGGGUUCGUAUGAUCCUUUUAUUGCCCUCGUUGAGCGUUCUCGCUUCUCUUAUACGACCGCCUUUCACGUAUGGCAYGUCCCAGCGUGUUUGGCUAUGUCGAAGAGGAAUGC